rnacentral:sRNA from 1 species
AAGAAAAAGAUCUCCUAAAAACAUAAUAAUUUCAAAAUGGUUUACAUCCUACUAUAUUAUUUGGGAAGUACAUUUUAAAAAUAACCUUGAUUUUGUAAAUUAAUUACAUAUCAAUGCCAUUGGAAAAAUCAAUUCAACCUUAUUUU